rnacentral:tRNA from 1 species
GGCACCUUCGUCAAGUGGUUAAGACACCGGCCUCUCACGCCGGGUUCACGGGUUCGAAUCCCGUAGGUGUCACCA